UAUCACUUAAAAUCGAUGCCUUUCCAAAUUUGGAAAAACAACUUUCCUUUCCUUUUCUUUUAUUUUGAUCAGUCAGAGUUUGCUGAGUCAUUGUUUCUACCUCAACAAACAGAUAUGGAGGAGAACAUACGUGCAUCUUUAGCUGGGAUGGAAUCCAUUUAUGAAUUGACCAGGGUUGUUAUUGAAAAAGACAGAAGGAUGUAAUCGAUGAAAAGAAUCGUGAAAUAAAGAGUUUGGAUGAAACUGUAUCUCAGUUAGUUAAGGAAAAAGAACAUAUUGGAUCUUUGCUUAGGAGUGCUUUGUCCAAGAGGAUGACAUCAAAUCCAUCUACCAAAACAAAUGAAUUGUUUCAAGUUGCAGAGAAUGGUUUACGAGAGGCUGGAAUUGAUUUCAAAUUUAGUAAGCAUGUUGGGGGAGGUUUCCAACUUCUAAUGACAAAAUGGAUGCUCAUGAGACAGAAGAUGAAAUAUAUAAUUUGGCUGGUGCUCUGGAGAAUAUUGUUAAGGAAUCUCAGCUUGAGAUCAUUGAGCUCGAGCAUUCUGUGGAGAAAUUAAGGGCCGAGUCGAGUUUACUUAAAGAUCACAUAGAGGCUCAAGCCAAGGGGCUUGGACAUAGAAUGCAUCAAAUUGAGGAACCUGCAGAGAAGGAGAGCGUGGCAAAUGAAAGUAUUGAAGGACUAACGAUGGACAUUGCUGCUGCUGAAGAAGAAAUUACAAGAUGGAAAGUGGCAGCAGAGGACGAAGCUGCUGCUGGUAGAGCUGUCGAACAAGAGUUUGUGGCAUAGCUGUCAGCACUUAAGCAGGAACUUGAGGAGGCAAAGGGAGCCAUUUUAGAGUCAGAGAAGAAGCUCAAGUUCAAAGAAGAGACAGCAGCAGCUGCCAUGGCUGCAAGAGAUGCAGCUGAGAAGUCAUUGAGGUUGGCAGACACGAGGGCAUCAAGGCUUAGGGAAAGAUUAGAGGAACUUACCCGUCAGCUUGAAGAGUUUGAACACUGGGAAGACACAAGGAGGGGUAGAAAUGGGCCUAGAUAUGUACUGGCCAUGGCAAUGGCUGGGGCUGGACUUUGUAGGUUCCAGCCGGUCUGACAUGCAACAACAAAGUUCAAAUGAAAUGGAGCUUUCUGAACCUCUUUUAUAAUUAUACAUUUUUUUUUCUUUUCCUUUUUUCCUUUUGUAUUUAUUGUGAUCUUUCAGAAGAAGUACAGUGAAAAAAAAAUUAGCUUAGAGCAUCUUCAUUCUUCCAUGUCUUUUUUGUUUGCAAUGAUAAUAUUGAUCAAUCUUUCUUCA